rnacentral:tRNA from 1 species
AGGACGGUAGCUCAAUGGUAGAGCAGCGGCCUUUUAAGCCGUUUCACCAACCACUUCUUCUAUUUCUUCACUCGAACCGCACCCGUUUUA